UGAAUACGAGACGCUACGGCGUCGAAGCAGUCUAUGUCAUACUUCCAAGAAAAGCUUGCACUGUCAUAAACAAAUAAUGCCUGUACCAUAACCGACACAGGUGGGUAGGUAGAGUAUACUAAGGGGCGCGAGAUAACUCUCUCUAAGGAACUCGGCAAAAUGACUCCGUAACUUCGGGAGAAGGAGUGCCUUAUUUAUAAGGUUGCAAUAACAAGAUCCAAGCAACUGUUUAUCAAAAACACAGGUCUCCGCUAAGUCGUAAGACGAUGUAUGGGGGCUGACGCCUGCCCAGUGCCAGAAGGUUAAAGAAGUUGGUUAGCAUUAGCGAAGCUGAUAACUGAAGCCCUGGUGAACGGCGGCCGUAACAAUAACGGUCCUAAGGUAGCGAAAUUCCUUGUCGGGUAAGUUCCGACCCGCACGAAAGGCGUAAUGAUUUGGAUACUGUCUCAGAGAGGGGCUCGGUGAAAUAGACUUGUCUGUGAAGAUGCGGACUACCUGCACCAGGACAGAAAGACCCUAUGAAGCUUUACUGUAACUUGAAAUUGAAAUUGGACUUUAUUUGCGCAGUAUAGGUGGGAGGCAUUGAUAAUAUUCUUGCGGGAAUGUUGGAGCCAUCAGUGAGAUACCACUCUUGUAAUGUUAGAUUUCUUACUUUGGAUCAUUAUCUGGUCAAAGGACAGUUUCAGGGCAGUUUGACUGGGGCGGUCGCCUCCUAAAUGGUAACGGAGGCGCACAAAGGUUUCCUCUGAACGGGUAGAAAUCGUAUCUAGAGUGUAAAGGCAUAAGGAAGCUUGACUGUGAGACCUACAAGUCGAGCAGGGACGAAAGUCGGUCUUAGUGAUCUGACGGUGCUGAGUGGAAAGGCCGUCACUCAACGGAUAAAAGUUACUCUAGGAUAACAGGCUGAUCUCCCCCAAGAGUUCACAUCGACGGGGAGGUUUGGCACCUCGAUGUCGGCUCAUCGCAUCCUGGGGCGGUAGUACGUCCCAAGGGUUGGGCUGUUCGCCCAUGAAAGCGGUACGCGAGCUGGGUUCAGAACGUCGUGAGACAGUUCGGUCCAUAUCCGGUGUAGGCGUUAGAAUAUUGAGAGGAGCCUUCUUUAGUACGAGAGGACCGAGAAGGACAUACCUCUGGUGUACCAGUUAUCGUGCCAACGGUAAACGCUGGGUAGCUAUGUAUGGAGAGGAUAACCGCUGAAAGCAUCUAAGUGGGAAGCCCACCACAAGAUAAGUA
rnacentral:rRNA from 1 species